AAUUGAAAAAAUUAAAAAUUGUAAAGAAUUGUGAAAAAAAUUCAAUCACUCAUGAUUCCUUUAGCUGCUUCCGAAGCUCCAAACCAGAAUUCGGGAUUCUUAUUUACGGAUGUGUUGAAUAAAGGUCUCCGCCAAAUGUUGAAGGUUGUAUAAGCGAAGAAUCGGAAUAGCAUGCAGUUUCUCUCGAACGAUUAAAUAGCUAGGGAAAUCAGAUUGGAUGGGCACAAUGAUGGACUCAGGCCAUUGAGGUUAAGUUUAAGAAGGUCUUGAAGUUUGCUGCUCUAAACCUUCACAGCUAAGAUACAUACAAGUUUUGGCCAUGAUGAUGUUAGAAAAAGAAGAAGGGUUUAGAAUUAGAAUUGAAAUUUACCGAUGAAAAUUUAUAACACGCCAAUAACUACAAACCCAAAAUCAAUAUCAUAGUAGUUCAUUCCCUUUAAAAAUAAGAAUAAUGUUUCAGAAUUCAGAUUCAGGAAAAUUAUUUGAAACUUAGAAGCACUUUGUAAUCAUGAAAAGACA